ACUGGCAACGCCCCACCCCCCACAACACCUACACCACUGUAAAGACUCCCAAACUAAGAGUCACAUGGUCUGGAAGCUGCUCUAAUAUUUUUAAUUUCUUCAGAAUGUAACUCUUCGUGUUUGUGCUGCAGUCUGCAUGCUCAGGAGUAGACAGACCUUAGGCUCGGAGGUGAGGCCAUACGCUGCCAUGGCAACAUCCUGGACCUUGAGGUUUUAGGCUGCAACCACUGCAACGAAGGUCCAAGGUCUGGGCUGUCACUUUCUCACAUUGGGUGUAGAGUCUUGGGACUACAGGUCGUCUGGCCAGGUAAGAAAGACCGUCCUGUUCCUCCAGCCGCAGUGUAAGCAGCGGGUUGGAUUUCAAGAAUGCCCUUCCAGAAACACAUCUGCUACCCUCAGUCCAACAGCCAGAAGAAUCGAGUCGCCCCAGAGGGAGGUGCAACCCCCAGGGCCUGUGUCACCUCUACCUCGGCCUCUGGACCCCUGCCCUUCUUCCAAUUCCGACCUCGGCUGGAGAACAUGAACUGGAGGCGUCUGGACACCAUUGAUGUAGACAAGGUGGUGGGAACUAUGGACAUCCUGACACUUCAGGAGAACAUCAUGAACAUCACCUUCUGCAAACUGGAGGGCGAGAAGUGCCCAUACUGCCAGGCAGAAGUGGACCCACUGCUGUUGAAACUCAUCCGCCUGGCACAGCUCACCAUUGAGUACCUGGUGCAGUCUCAAGAGUUCCUCACCUCACAGCUGAGCAUGGUAGAGGACCGGUUACGCCUGAGCCUGAGUGGCUUCGAGCAGAACAAACAGCUGCUCGCCAAGCAGGCUGAGGAUAUCAGACUUCUCAAGCAGGAGUGUCGGCGCAGGAAAAAGAUGCUGUCUGCCCAGCAGCUGAUGAUGGGCCAGGUCCAAGCCGGCCAUUACCAGUGUGGUUUUUGUGACAAGGCUUUUAUGAGUCAAGCUUCUCUCCAGAGCCACCUCCAUCGCCGCCACGCUGCUGUAGAUUCUUGUUCUGGGAAAAAGGCAAUGGCAAGGAACGACAAGCUCCAGGAGGAGGUCACCAUGUUGAAGGAGCAGCUGCAGGUCACCAGGACCCAGCUGGAGUCGGUGCAGCACACCCACAGAGUCCGACCCUCUACAGACUAUGAAAGGCAGAAAAUAAAUGAGGAGGACUUCCAGAAGUUAGUGGUUAGUUGGGAGGAGGAAGAAAAGCAGACACUGGUGAACGAGAUGGAGAAAGUCAAGGACAUGUUAAGGAAGGAGUUUGAGGAGUUAACAUUGAAGAAUUCAUCUUUAGAAUAUCAAUUAUUGGAAAUCCAGAAAUCUAAUGUGCAGAGUGAGGUCAACAUGGGCAGGGAGAAACUCCCCUAGGUUUAAAAACUGACUUCCUUAUUCCCAAUGUUUCCAAAAGACGCUGCACAUCCUUGAGUGCAAAUAAGCCAGUGACCAGAUGAGUUUAAAGUUCUUAAGGGAAGAAUGCAGCAAGGAGCAGGGUUAUCAGGUCUUUCUUGGGCAACUACGGCCGCCCUGAUGACAUAAUGUUACCGCUCUGUCUGGUCCAGAGACACUGCUUUGCUGCAGACCUCCCUACUCUCUUAUACAGUCUUUCCACCCCUUUCUUCUCCACGUUGUCUGCUGAGUCCUAUGGGGUGUGUGUGUGUGUGUGUGUGUGUGUGUGUGUGUGUGUGUGUGUGUGUGUGUGUGUGUUUUAAAUGUCUCAGGAGCAGCUGCAGUUCACCAAGACACAGCUGGGGCUCCAGAAUCCCUUGUUCUCUGCAAUUUGACCAAUUGUAAGGCGGUAUUAACCACUACCGGCUACAAAGAGGAAGUUUCUCUGAUAAAACAUAUUAUUUAGACGGCACUUUGUCAUUCUAACGAGUAAGGAAAAUAAGUUGAAUCUCAUCCCAAAAUAGUUGGUUAUCCCCAUAUAUUCUUGCCGCUGUUAUACUGUGAUAAUAUUUACAUUUUAUAUUUCUAGGAAUAUAGACAUCUCCCCCCAUGUACAGAUGUAAACUUACAAAAUUUAUAUUUUCAAUACCCAGGUUAUAAAAACUUCUUUAUAUUU